rnacentral:rRNA from 1 species
GACGAACGCUGGCGGCGUGCUUAACACAUGCAAGUCGAACGGAAAGGCCCUGCUUUUGUGGGGUGCUCGAGUGGCGAACGGGUGAGUAACACGUGAGUAACCUGCCCUUGACUUUGGGAUAACUUCAGGAAACUGGGGCUAAUACCGGAUAGGAGCUCCUGCUGCAUGGUGGGGGUUGGAAAGUUUCGGCGGUUGGGGAUGGACUCGCGGCUUAUCAGCUUGUUGGUGGGGUAGUGGCUUACCAAGGCUUUGACGGGUAGCCGGCCUGAGAGGGUGACCGGCCACAUUGCGCCUGAGAUACGGCCCAGACUCCUACGGUAGGCAGCAGUGGGGAAUAUUGCACAAUGGGCGGAAGCCUGAUGCAGCAACGCCGCGUGCGGGAUGACGGCCUUCGGGUUGUAAACCGCUUUCGCCUGUGACGAAGCGUGAGUGACGGUAAUGGGUAAAGAAGCACCGGCUAACUACGUG